rnacentral:lncRNA from 1 species
AAAAAACCAAAAACAAAAACCUCCCACUCCCCCCACUUUCUCUCUCUCUCUCUCUCUCCCCUUCUCAUUUUCUAAAAAAAUGUGUUCAUACACACAAAGUGUGUAGGCAAAUGCUAGUAUUUAUUAAGAUAAUUAGGGUUUAGUGGCAUAAUUUGUAAAUAUGUUGUAAUAAUUGGUUAUAUAUUUAUCUACGUGGUAGUCUAUUUGAAAUUUGGGUAUUAUUUGAAUGUUGUUGUAGGCCUAUUUGAUUGAACGAUCUAGGGUUUAGAGAGAGAGGGGGGCCGACCACUAUUAGAGAGAAGAGAGAUUGAUUUAAUUUGAGGUGUGUUUGAUUCACCCCAUUGUGCCUUUAUUUAUAGUAUGAAGGGUAAAACCUUUCCCUUUAGGAUUACAACAUUUAAUAUGUAAUCUAAUCUUAAUAGGAAUAUAAGAUACAUUCCCAAAUUCCCUAGGAUUUACACAAUCACAUUCCUAUUCUAAAUAUGACUGCAACACUCUCCCUUGAGUGUGUAAAUACUCAACAAACAAUCGCAUCAGAUCUUCAGCAGAUAAGGUAGAAUAGUUGAUGAAGUCAUCGGCACAACGGGUGAUCGCGAGUCUCAAAUUUAAGUGAAGUAUGCAUUUGCAAAAACUUACAAAAACCUUGCUAUGGUAAAACCCAAGGCAUGGGGAAAACCCAUAGACUAAGGAGAAAAGUAAGAAAAUAUGCAUAAUGUCUAAAACACUCGUCAAACUGGACGAAGGUAGUGAACUCAUUAGAGUAUGAUCAUCCCAGGAUGGGUGCCUUAUUAAAACCUCGUUAGGUAGCAAAAACCCAGUGGAAAAAAUGCUUCUAAUCGUAGGAAAAAGAGUACAUUAAGGCAUGAGUAUUCUUCUAGAUACUCCCCCUAAGUUAGACACAACUUCUAAAUAAAAGAACUACAAGCAAUUCAACUCAAAUAAUUUACGCAUACCAAUUCCUUUGACGAGCUUCUGAAAUGUAAACUUGGGCAAUGACUUGGUAAAGAGAUCGGCCAGGUUGUCCUGGGAACGGAUUUACUUGACUUCAAUGUUCUGAUGCUGCUGCUGCUGGUGUGAGUAAAAGAACUUC